UAAUUCCAGCUCCAAUAGCGUAUAUUAAAGUUGUUGCGGUUAAAAAGCUCGUAGUUGGAUUUCUGUGGAGGACGUCCGGUCCGCACUUUGUGCGUGUAUCUGGUUCGGCCUCUGCAUCCUCCAGGGGAACGGCACUGCGCUUCAUUGCGUGGUCCGGUAUUCUGGACUUUUACUUUGAGGAAAUUAGAGAGUUUACGGCAGGCAAUCGCCUUGAAUACAUUAGCAUGGAAUAAUAAUAUAGGACCUUGGUUCUAUUUUGUUGGUUUCUAGAACUAAGGUAAUGAUUAAUAGGGAUAAUUGGGGGCAUUUGUAUUAACACGUCAGAGGUGAAAUUCUUGGAUUGUGUUACGACAAACUACUGCGAAAGCAUUUGCCAAGGAUGUUUUCAUUGAUCAAGAACGAAAGUGCGGGGAUCGAAGACGAUUAGAUACCGUCGUAGUCUGUACCAUAAACUAUGCCAACUAGAGAUUGGAGGUCGUUCUUUUUAUGACUCCUUCAGCAUUUUAUGAGAAAUCAAAGUCUUUGGGUUCCGGGGGGAGUAUGGUCGCAAGGCUGAAACUUAAAGGAAUUGACGGAAGGGCACCACCAGGAGUGGAGCCUGCGGCUUAAUUUGACUCAACACGGGGAAACUUACCAGGUCUAGACAUAGUAAGGAUUGACAGAUUGAUAGCUCUUUCUUGAUUCUAUGGGUGGUGGUGCAUGGCCGUUCUUAGUUGGUGGAGUGACUUGUCUGGUUAAUUCCGUUAACGAACGAGACCUUACCCUGCUAAGUAGUAAUGCGUAUCUUCGGAUAUGCAGCUAACUUCUUAGAGGGACUUUGCGAUUCUAAGCGUAAGGAAGUUUGAGGCAAUAACAGGUCUGUGAUGCCCUUAGAUGUUCUGGGCUGCACGCGCGCUACACUGAUGCGUUCAACGAGUUUAUAACCUUGUCCGGCAGGAUUGGGUAAUCUUCUGAAAACGCAUCGUGAUGGGGAUAGAUUAUUGUAAUUAUUAAUCUUCAACGAGGAAUUCCUAGUAAGCGCGGAUCAUCAGUUCGUGCUGAUUACGUCCCUGCCCCUUGUACACACCGCCC
rnacentral:rRNA from 1 species